CUCUGUCUCUCUCUCUCUCUCAAUCUCUGUCUCUCUCUCAAUCUCUCUCUCUCUCUCUCUCUCUCUCUCUCUCUCUCUCUUUCUCUCUCUCUUUCUCUGUCUCUCACCUCACCUGGCACCAGAUAAUUUAGAAUGAUUAUACUGCGGGAUUAAAUCUUGGCUGUGACAGUCAAGAAGAACAAUACAAGCCAUCACGGUGAUGAAAGCAUGGUGUACAUUAUUCUGAGGGUACGUCCCUAUAAUACAUUACCCCCCCCCCCCCGAAGUGUACACUUGUUCACUUGUUCCCUCAAAUAUAAAAGCCUUGACUAGCUGAUCAUACCAGACUAAGUGAUCAUAGCUAGUGUUAGUAGGCCUUGUAGUGUUUUUUGUUGUUGUCUUUACUAGCUGAUACACCUGAGAUACACCUGCAUUAGCUCUCCCCCCCCCCCCCCCCAAGCUAAUGCCUAGACUUUAUCUCAGCUGGCUAACACAGAUUCCUGGAGACCCGGAUUGGAACCUACAUGCAGACAGGCGAUCUUUAAAAACCUUUAAAGACCUGUAUAGAUCUUUAUAGCUCUUUUUAGCCAGACUUCAUAGACACUAGUGUGCAGAGUAAGUUAGUUAGGAAGAUAUGUUAAGGCAGCGUUUCCCAAACUAGGUCCCUGGGGAACCCAAGGUCCCUGGGCAAGGUCCCUGGGGAACCCAAGGUCCCUGGGCAAGGUCCCUGGGAAACCCAAGGUCCCUGGGCAAGGUCCCUGGGGAACCCAAGGAGUGCACGUUUUGUUUUUUCUCCUCUAGACUUACACAGCUGAUUCAAAUCAUCACAGCUUGAUGAUGAGUUGAUUACUUUUUAAUCAGCUAUGUAGUGCCAGGGCAAACAAAAAAAAAAUGGGGUCCCCAGGUCCGAGUUUUGGAAAUCCUGGGUCAAGGAAAACAGACUUUCUACACACCAGAUAUACAGAGCAUUCAGGAAAGUAAUUCAGACCCCUUCCCUUCUUUCCACAUUGUGUUACGUUACAGCCUUAUUCUAAAAUGGAUGAAAUAAAAAUUCUCUCAUCAAUCUACACAAAAUACCCCCUAUAAUGACGAAGCGAAAAUAUAUAUAUUUCUGUUAUAUUUGGAAAUGUAUUAAAAAUAAAAUUGAAUGCAUCCCAAUUGGCACCCUAGUCCCUACAUGCGGGGACUACAAUUAUUCUGAUUAUUAUUAUUAUUAUAUAUAUUUUUUUUUAUAAAUGUAACCUUCAUUUAACAACACAAGUCAGUUUUAAGAACAAAAAAUUCUUGCAAUAGGAUGUCAUUUGGGACACUGUCAUUGUCUAUGACCCAGUGCCUGCCCCAGUGUAUAUAUAUAUAUAUAUAUAAACACAUGUAAUAAUCAGCCCCUGUUAUUGGUCACCACAGAUGUACAGUUUUUAUCUAUUUGUCACUUGUUGUGGUUAAUAAUAAUAUUGUAUUGUUUCUGAAUGCAGCAUUGUGGGAGUUUUUGAACUAUGAGAAAUGAAAAGCACUUACUGAAAUGAAAUGAAAAUAAAGAUAUUCAUAAAAA